UGGGGGAUAUUGCGCAAUGGGGGCAACCCUGACGCAGCAACGCCGCGUGAAGGAUGAAGGUUUUCGGAUUGUAAACUUCUUUUAUUAAGGACGAAACUUGACGGUACUUAAUGAAUAAGCUCCGGCUAACUACGUGCCAGCAGCCGCGGUAAUACGUAGGGAGCAAGCGUUGUCCGGAUUUACUGGGUGUAAAGGGUGCGUAGGCGGCUUUGCAAGUCAGAUGUGAAAUCUAUGGGCUCAACCCAUAAACUGCAUUUGAAACUGUAGAGCUUGAGUGAAGUAGAGGCAGGCGGAAUUCCCCGUGUAGCGGUGAAAUGCGUAGAGAUGGGGAGGAACACCAGUGGCGAAGGCGGCCUGCUGGGCUUUAACUGACGCUGAGGCACGAAAGCGUGGGUAGCAAACAGGAUUAGAUACCCUGGUAGUCCACGCUGUAAACGAUGAUUACUAGGUGUGGGGGGUCUGACCCCUUCCGUGCCGGAGUUAACACAAUAAGUAAUCCACCUGGGGAGUACGGCCGCAAGGUUGAAACUCAAAGGAAUUGACGGGGGCCCGCACAAGCAGUGGAGUAUGUGGUUUAAUUCGAAGCAACGCGAAGAACCUUACCAGGUCUUGACAUCCAACUAACGAAGUAGAGAUACAUUAGGUGCCCUUCGGGGAAAGUUGAGACAGGUGGUGCAUGGUUGUCGUCAGCUCGUGUCGUGAGAUGUUGGGUUAAGUCCCGCAACGAGCGCAACCCUUGCUAUUAGUUGCUACGCAAGAGCACUCUAAUAGGACUGCCGUUGACAAAACGGAGGAAGGUGGGGACGACGUCAAAUCAUCAUGCCCCUUAUGACCUGGGCUACACACGUACUACAAUGGAUGUUAACAGAGGGAAGCAAGACAGCGAUGUGGAGCAAACCCCUAAAAACAUUCUCAGUUCAGAUUGCAGGCUGCAACCCGCCUGCAUGAAGAUGGAAUUGCUAGUAAUCACGGAUCAGCAUGCCGCGGUGAAUACGUUCCC
rnacentral:rRNA from 1 species